UUCUUGUCAUUAGAGGAAUAAAGUUGUAACAAGGUUCCGAGCAGAGUCUCGAAGAACAGCAAGUUCCUUCUGCAGAGUACAUUGCCGAGCCUAGUUGCCAGAAAGGGGCAGCGGCGACUGUAAACAAGUAGGAUGUUAAUCGCGAGUCUCCCAGGAGGCAACACUAUCAAAUUGCGGAACAUCCUGUCGAGUCUUCACUACCGCGGCUCGCCGAAAGUCGAGUGCAGCACCAGGGUAAUGACCUCGGGGAAGGUAACAAUGCGAAGAAUAGGGACAAUCCGCAGCCAAGCCCUACUUUCUAUGAAUAUGGGUGCUGUUCACAGGCCAAAUGGUAGUGGGCACUUUAUGAGUGCUUAAGAUAUGGUCGAGUCCCCACACGAGAGUGUGGGUACAAGUACUCUUUGAGCUUAUAAUGCUUCCUCUUGGUCAUUUAGAGGAAGUAAAAGUCGUAACAAGGUUUCCGUAGGUGAACCUGCGGAAGGAUCAUUAUUGAUUGUGAAUCGUUGCCUUCAGUGCUGGCUCCGGCAAGUGCACGUUGGUGACUUUCAUCCAACACUCUUGUGAACCUUUGGCCUCUUGCUGGCCUCGGCUGGCAGAGGAUUUUUACACCCACUCGCAUGUAAUGAAAUUAUUGUCGUGCGCAAGCACUAAUGUACAACUUUCAACAACGGAUCUCUUGGCUCUCGCAUCGAUGAAGAACGCAGCGAAAUGCGAUAAGUAAUGUGAAUUGCAGAAUUCAGUGAAUCAUCGAAUCUUUGAACGCACCUUGCACCCUUUGGCAUUCCGAAGGGUAUGCUCGUUUGAGUGUCAUUGUACUCUCACACUUCUCAUCCUUUGGAUUUGGAGCGGUGGAUUUGGGUGUUGCUGCUUUCCGGUGGCUCACCUUGAAUGCAUUAGUGCAACUCUUGGUUGGACAUAGUACGGCGUGAUAAGUGUCUUCGCCGGCACCUCGCAAGAGGGUGGCUGAUCGAGAGCUCUGUGCUUUCAAACCGUCCUCGGACAAUGACUGACAACUUGACCUCAAAUCGAGUAGGACUACCCGCUGAACUUAAGCAUAUCAAUAAGCGGAGGAAUUUAAUACAACUUUCAACAACGGAUCUCUUGGCUCUCGCAUCGAUGAAGAACGCAGCGAAAUGCGAUAAGUAAUGUGAAUUGCAGAAUUCAGUGAAUCAUCGAAUCUUUGAACGCACCUUGCACCCUUUGGUAUUCCGAAGGGUACACCCGUUUGAGUGUCAUUGUAAUCUCACACCCUCAGACUUUUGUCAAAAGGGAAGUGGACUUGGACGCUGUCGUGUCACUACGACUCGUCUCAAAUGCAUGAGCGUACCCUGCGUCCGCAGCGUAUUCGUGUGAUAAGCAUCUUCACCGGAGUAGUGCCCUCGGGCUCGCGCUUGCAAAUGUUGGGCUCUGCGCUUCAAACCGUCUUUGGACACAACUGACAUUUGACCUCAAAUCGGUGGACUACCCGCUGAACUUAAGCUUAUCAAUAACCGGAGGAA
rnacentral:rRNA from 1 species